UUCGCUAAUGGAGUGGUUGGUGUAUUUCAUAGUUUUUGCCAUUGGAUUUCACUCAAAACCCACAAAUAGACUCCUCCCACUAUAUUAUGAUGUUACCCAAGUUUUGGACUCAAUCCGGUAUCGAUUGGGCCAUGAAAUUGGACAUUUCAGGUUCGUACGAAGUUCUUUCUGAAAUGGAGUGGUUAAUGUACUGCAUAGUUCUAGAGAUUUGAUUUCACUCAAAACCCACCAAAUGACUCCUCCCACUAUAUUAUGACGUUUCCCAAGUUUUGGCCUGAAUCUGAUUUCGAUUGUUACAUGAAAUUCGACAA
rnacentral:lncRNA from 1 species